CACGCUUCCCUUGGCUGGUGUGCUGUCCCGGGCGCUCUGAUCCCAAGGAAGCUGUUGUCUUGGGGACAUGCCCAUCUGGCAGCUCUGCCUCUCUGCAUCCACGUGCUCUGUCCCGCUCCCCACAUCAUCUCAGCAACUAAACCGGCAGACUGGGCCGGGUCCCAAUUUUCAGUUGGCAUGAGCCCCGGCUCAGUGUGUAGGUCAUUGGUCCGUGUGACGCAGGGGGCUGCUGAGGGACCCUGCUGUGCAGUUGAGGGUGGGGGGUGGUGGGUGGAGCUCUGGGCUGCCUGGGCAGGUGGCCCGAAUCCUGACACAUGGCCCUGGGCUGCCCUUCUGUUCACCCGCCCUCGUCUGGGCAGCCCAGGGAGGUGCGGGUGGCAGCCCUGCUUCCCAGGCCAUGGGUGGCUCUCUGGGUGUGGCCGUGUGUGAUGGCUGUGCCGAGCGUGGAUUUGUGCCCCAAUCUUUUCCAGGUCUUAGGGUACGUACUGUUCUCAGCCUCUCCAUGCUGGGACGCUGUUCGCAGUCAGCAGGGCUGGUUCUGGGAAACCCCCAGAGUUCCAGCUAUGACUUCUCCCCUCCCCCGGUAACAUAGGUGGAUAGGUGGGACCUCGGGGAGGGGCAGGGGCUGGGGGUAUCCGUCUUCCAGCUAUUGAGUUUCAGACAUUGAGGGUUGCAGACUCAUUUGUGUCCUCUCUGCCACCUGCCAUCCCUGUGACCCUGGACGAUGGGCCUCUCGGUCUCUUUGUAAACAUGAGGCCCGGGAGUGGUUCCAGAACGUCCAUCAUGGGGCUGCGAGAGCAGGAGGGAUGGGGCGUCCAUGGUGGCGGGAGGUUCUGUAAGUGGCGGUGGCCUUGAUGGAUCUCAGCACUGAGGUCGAGUUCUAAAGCCAGAGUGUGAGGCACAGUUCUGUCGCGUCACACUGGCUUCCAAGUCCCAUGGAUCUAGCCUUGAGAAGGCGGAAGGGGAGACUUGAGUUCUGCUGGGUCUUGGCUGCGUCGCCUCUGCCCUGGGGCGUGGGCAGGGCUGCGGUCUUGGAGGGUCUCUCUUUUCCUUUCUGUGAUGAGCGCACAGCUGGGGCCGCUCCAAGCCGCUGUUCUGCCUUCCUUUUCCUGCCCCUGUUACCUGGGCAGCGGAGGGCCGUGCGGCCCGGGCUCUCAGUGAGUGGCUUUCCCUGCUUCCCUCCUCCCAGCACUUCUCCACCGACCCAGUGGCCGCCUCCAUCAUGAAGAUCUACACGUUCAACAAAGACCAGGACCGGGUGAAGCUGGGUGUGGACACCAUUGCCAAGUGAGCGUGUGGCCCCUUUGCCCUGCCUGGCCCCUCCAGCUCAUCCCAGCACCCCUCCCACUGGGGCUGUCACCCCCUCUGGCCCCCUCAUUACCUGCUGAGGUGGGUUGGGAAGGAGCAUAGGCCGAGAGUGAGGCAGCUCCACCCAGAGGCCUCAGGCAAAGGGCUGGGCCUCCUUGGGCCUCAGUUUACCCGUGUGCAAAAUGAAGGUGUUGAAGGAAUCAGGGGUUUCCCACCCUGGCUUCCUUGGGGAACAUGUGGAGGAGGCAGGGUCCCACCCCACUCCCCGGGUCUCAGGAUCGGGGGCAGGCCUGGAGGUCCACGCUGCCCGCCAACGCCGAGGGAGCACCCCGCAGGAGCCCCCUGCUGGCACUGCGGCCCUUCAGCUCUGGCUCUCCACUCUUCCGGCACUGUGGCUUCCCCACCGCUGUGGUUAAUUGUGCCCUUCCAGGGCUGGUGGGACGGUGAGGGGUUCCGUGGGGCUCCUGCUGGCACCAGGGGUGGGCUCCAUGGGGUGUCCGAGGUGUGCCUUCCACCCGGAGAUGGUCUGCUGCCCUCGCGUCACUGGGCCGCUUCUUCCCUCUGACUAGAGGCCAAGUGUGGCUGAGCUGCUGUUACCUGGAGCAGGAGGCACAGAGGGGCCGGGUGGGCAGCCUGGGCUGUGCCCCACUCACCUUCUCCACCUACCCCAGGUACCUGGACAACAUCCACCUGCACCCCGAGGAGGAGAAGUACCGGAAGAUCAAGCUGCAGAACAAGGUGUUUCAGGUGGGCGUGCCUUCUGGCCCCCGGGGCCCAGGCUGGGGGUGGGGGCAGCUGGCCUGCAGGAGCCGGUGGUGGCCCACACCAGGCGGUGGGCUCCCUGGAGGAGCUAGCGAGAGUUGAGCCACAAGCAGUGAAGGGUUCGGCCAGUAGAAGGUAGCAGGACAAGAUGGAGAGCAAGACUUUUAUGCACCGGUCACCCCAAAUCAACAAAUUCUGCCUCUCCUCACCUGCAUCCUUUUCCUCCUCUUCAGCUGGGCUUGUUUGGGAACAUGUCGACUCUGGGGAGGUUUCUCAUGCAAACCAGAUGUCUGGUUCUUCUGGGGGAAAGGGCAGGGACUGGGGUCCUGGGCGGUGUUAGCCUCGCAUCAGGCCCCAGCAGUGUCUGGCUCCUCAGCCUCACUCUUCGUGCCUGGUUGUGACUCUUUCCUCUGUGCAGAGCUGUUGGAGACUCCACAGCCCCCACCGUAGAAAAGCAGGUUUGCAUCCAGCACUGAGGCACCCCCAGGGCUGGGCCCCAUCCAGGGGUCGACAGCUGCUCCCAAUAGCGAGAGCCGGGCCCCUGGACUGGGUGGGGUGUGGCCAGGCCAUGGAGGAAGCCAGGGGCCCCCAGUGACGCCCAUCUCCACCCCCAGGAGCGCAUUAACUGCCUGGAAGGGACCCACGAGUUUUUUGAGGCCAUUGGGUUCCAGAAGGUGUUGCUUCCCGCCCAGGAUCAGGGUAAGUGGACAGGGCCUGGCUGAGUAGGGAAUGGGGACGAGGGGCCUCGGGGCAGGAGGGCCCGGCUUGGGGGUCUCUCCAUUGCACAGUGACACCCAUGUCCUGCCACGCUGUAGAGGACCCCGAGGAGUUCUACGUGCUGAGCGAGACCACCUUGGCCCAGCCCCAGAGCCUGGAGAGGCACAAGGAACAGCUGCUGGCUGCGGAGCCCGUGCGCGCCAAGCUGGACAGGCAGCGCCGCGUCUUCCAGCCCUCGCCCCUGGCCUCGCAGUUCGAACUGCCUGGGGACUUCUUCAACCUCACAGCAGAGGAGAUCAAGCGGGAGCAGAGGCUCAGGUGGGCCUGACGUCCGCGGAGCAGAGUGGGGCGGGGCGGGGUGGAAGAACCCCGGCCAGCCCUCGUGACCUGGCCCGCGUGUGCAGGUCCGAGGCGGUGGAGCGGCUGAGCGUGCUGCGGACCAAGGCCAUGCGGGAGAAGGAGGAGCAGCGGGGGCUGCGCAAGUACAACUACACGCUGCUGCGCGUGCGCCUCCCCGAUGGCUGCCUCCUGCAGGGUGGGCACCAACGAUGCCCGUGGAGGGCGGCUCGGGUUGGUAGGGGGCCCUGGGCCCCACCCGCUCUGACUCCCCCACUCCCCAGGCACUUUCUACGCUCGGGAGCGGCUGGGGGCGGUGUACGGGUUCGUCCGGGAGGCCCUGCAGAGCGACUGGCUGCCUUUUGAGCUGCUGGCCUCGGGAGGGCAGAAGCUGUCCGAGGACGAGAACCUGGCCUUGAACGAGUGCGGGCUGGUGAGUGUCGGCCCGCAGGAGCACCGCUGACCCGAUGCCUCUGCAGGUUCUCCUGGGACCGGCACAGACACCCCCAGGAGGGAGCCUCCUUGUUCUCAGAGCAGGGGGCCUGGGCAGGUCCCUGGGUUUGAAUCCUGCUUUCCCACUUACUGGCAGCAGGGCCUCGAGCAAGUUCAUAACUACUCCACGCCUCAGUUUCCCCAUCAAAUGGGAGCGGUGACGUGCGUUAGCUAGUGCAGUAGGUUUAGGCUUAGGUCCUGGAGUCCCGGAGGGAGAGGGCAGGAGGCCUGGGUGCGAGCCACAGCCUCCACCAGCUGAGAUGGCUUCCAGGCCGGGGCAUCCCCGCGCCCAGGUUGCCCGCUGAGUUCCCUGCCGCGGCAAGGGCCGACUCUCGGUCUCAGAGUGACGGCCUACCCCUACCGCAGGUGCCCUCUGCCCUCCUGACCUUCUCGUGGGACAUGGCUGUGCUGGAGGACAUCAAGGCCGCGGGGGCCGAGCCGGACUCCAUCCUGAAACCCGAGCUCCUGUCAGCCAUCGAGAAGCUCUUGUGAAAUAAAAGCAGGGUUGGCCUCAGCCCUGUGGGUCUGUCUCAUGCUCUCCCUGUUCCUCUCCCCGCCACCCCAGGGCCUCCAAGCCACCUCUGGAAAUACUUGGCUCUGCCCCAUGGGCACGGGAGGGGCGCCAGCCGUGGAGCUGUGGAAUUGGGCCCCGUGGCAGAGCCCCCAUCCCUUGGGGGCUGUGGGGAUGCGCCCAAGCCCCCGAGGGAGAGGCCUGGGGACACCAACAAAUCUAAGCCCUCCCUAGCUGCUUGGUAACUGUGUCAUGAAGCUGCCGGACAGACACACGUGGCAUCUCCCUGGGCAGGAGAGCAGGCCUGCAGCAUGGGUCCUGUUCCCGUGUGCCGUGGGUGGCAGUGGCUGCACCUGGCACUAGGGCUGCUCUGUGGAUGUGGGUGACAACGGCAGGAGGGGAUGCUGGCCUUCCUGCACAUAGACCUGCAGUUAGUAAAUCAUAAGCCCAAAUAAACAGGUUGUUUGAAUAU
rnacentral:lncRNA from 1 species